rnacentral:lncRNA from 1 species
CAUUGUCCAGCAUUAGCACCUUGGUGUGAAUUCCUGCAGAAAAGGGGAGUCUGAAAGGAGGCCCAGAGGGAGCCCUGCUGGGGAGGGUGCUGCCCAAUUACCUAAUGGACACACUUCCUUUCCUGUGACAGCAGUGCCAAAGCAGUAGUAGAGCACAGUGGCCAAAACCCUGAGUUGUCUAGUCACCAAAGCUAGAAACUUCUGGAGGCCCCUGUGUGCAAGGAACAGCAACUGUGGGCAGUCCUCCCUUUUGAACUCUUCCAUUUUCUUGUUCACAGAUGAUGAUUGUAGUCAUCAACACUUACCAAAUGCCUCCUAGACACUACGCUCCGGUUCUUCACCAGGGUUACUAGUCCUAAGCCAUACUGCCUGGGUCAUGGUGUCGGUGCCAUUUUACAGAAGUGAAAACUGAGGCCCAAAGCAAUUAAAUGCCUAGCCCAAAGAGGAGCUGCCUGGUAAGAGGUAGGAGGAAGUAAGCAAGCAAGGCGCCCACACUUCCCCAAUCUGACCCUGUGGCCCCUGAGCCACUCAAGCUUCAGCCUGCCUCCUUCCAGAAUGUGCCUGGAAAAGCCCUCCCUCUGCAAGUUUCUCAGGCACUGAUCACUGAGAUGCUGCCUCUGUCCAUCCUCCCUGCCCACAGGAUGGUCCCCUCUCUGCAGCUGACCAUGACCAAAACACCUGCUCUAUGCAUGUCCACCUGACACUUUCCUGGUACUCAAAAAUUUUCCAGGCCGGCUGCCAUCUGCAGCACCAAACAGGCCUUCUCUGAUACCUUCCCUGUUUUCUCCUUUCUCUCCAUCUUCUGCAAAUGCGCCUUUCCUCCCUUCUCCCAACACCCCCCUAUUUAGAUAUUUAUUGAGCACCUACUGUAGACAUUGAAGGCUUAGCAGAGUCUCAGCUUUGUUAGAAUCCUCCCUGGAGUGAAGGGAGCCAGUGGGUGUGUUUUUACAUUUGUAAAUGCAGGGAACAAAUGGGGAAAAGGAAGGAGUUGAGGGGUGCGCAGAGAUGCCUCUGAGAAGGUGAUCUGGGGGAAGGGGUAAAGGGAGGAAAGUGAGCUUCCCAUACUGAAGGGGGUGGGAGGAGGACCCCCAAGCAGGGGGCAUCAGUAGUCCCCCAAAUUCAGGGGGCAUCCUGACCCCCAAAAGAAUGGGUUAACGUUCAUGUCUGUGGUAAGGGGAGGAAAACGCCUCUGAUUCCAUCAGUGGCACAGGGCUGCAAUUGGCUGCCAUUGGCAUGCCAGGGAAGGCCCCAAAACUUGGUAGCCCCAUCUGCUUGUGCUAUCUGGACCCCAAUGCCUGCCCACCAAGCCCUCCCCGUGCCCUUGGGCUCAGGGGCAGUUCAGCAUCCACGAAUCUGUACUCGUGUCCCAAAGUCACCACCCAGUGCCCCAUUCGUCCGGCCUGUUGCAGGGAUAGGGAGCAUGGGCUCACUAGCUGUGUGGCCCCCACGCUGUCCCUGCACCCUGGCAUUCCAGCGGCAGCACAGUUGCCACCUACACGCCAGGCUGCACACCAGCACAGCUGUUUGAGGCAGACCCAUUUUUUUCCCCUUUCAAGUCAGAGGUAAGCGUCACCCAUUCCAGUGCCUGUUUUUCUCAGGCAUGCACCCUCUUGCCCCUUUGCAUGACUGAGUGCUAGUGCAGGUUUCUUUUAAAUUGUGGUUAAAGAUGCACAAUUUAAAAUUGACCUUUCUGGGGGGUGGGUACCAGGGAUUGAGCUCAGGGACACUUGACCACUGAGCCACAUCCCCAGCCCUAUUUUGUAUUUUAUUUAGAGACAGGGUCACACUGACUGACUUAGCGCCUCACCAUGGCUGAGGCUGGCUUUGAAUUCGCUAUCCUCCUGCCUCAGCUUCCCAAGCCACUGGGAUUACAGGCGCGCGCCAUCACACCCAGCUAAAAUUUACUGUUUUAACUUUUUUUUUUUUCAAUGAUGGGGAUUGAACCCAGGGUUCCAUGCAUGUUAGGUGCAUGCUGUACCACUGAGCUACAACCUGGCCCAUAUGAACCAUUUUAAAUGUGCAGUUUUGUAUUAAACACAUUCACACUGUGGCAGCCACCAACAACCAUCUCCAGAACCUUUUUCAUCUCCCCUCAGACUUUGUCUUUCUUACAAUAACUCCCUACUGUCCACUCCCCCUGUCCCUGGCAACCAUCAUUCUAUAUUCUCACUCUCUCUAUGAAUUUUACUACUCUAGGGGCCUCAUACAAGGGGAAUCACACGGUAUUGUUUUUUCAUGACUGGCUUCUGUCACUUAGUAAAAUAUCCUCAAGUUGCAUCCAUGCUGUAGCACAUAUCAGAAUUUCCCUCCUUAAGACUCAAUAACAUUCCAUUACAUGUGUGUUUGUGUGAAUGUGUGUACUGUGUGUGUACAUUGUGCAGGUGUAUAUUUUCAUUGCAUAAAUAUGUAUAUAUAUAUAUAUAUAUACACAUGUAUACAUAUGUACACUAUACACACACACAUACCACAUUUUAAACAUCCAUUUGUCUAUUGGUAGACACUUGGGGUUGCUUCCACCCUUUGCUAUUGUGAAUAACACUACAAUGAACAUUGAUAUGUCAAUGUCUAUUCACUUCUUUGGGGUAUAUUUUUAGAACUGGAAUUGCUGGAUUAUGUGGUGAUUUUUUUGAGGAACUAACCAAACCAUUUUCCACAGUGGCUGCAGUGCAUUCCCACCAACAAUUCAUGAGUUCUAAUUUCUCCACAUCCACGCCAACACUCAUAGAUUUGGUUUUCUCUUAGUUGUUUUUGUUUGGUAAUAGCCACCCUAAUUGGUCUGAGUUGGUAUCUUAUUGUAGUUUAAAUUUACAUUUCCAUAAUGAUUAAUGAUGUUGACAAAUUUUCCUAUGCUUUUUGGCCAUCUACAGAUCUUCUUUGGAGAAACAUCGAUUUAAAUCCUUAGCCCAUACUUGAAUUGGGUUGUUUUCUGGGUGUUAAGUUGUAGGGAUCCUUUAUUUAUUGUGGAUAUUAAUCUCUUAGAUAUAUGAUUUGCAAAUGUUUUCUCCUGUUUUGUUAGCUGCUUUUUACUCUGUUAAUAAUGUCCUUUUAUGCACAAAAGUUUUUAAUUUUAAUAAAGUCCAAACUUUCUAUUUUUUUUGUUUGUUACUUGAAUGUUUGGUUUCAUAUCCAAGAAAUUGUCACCAACUCCAAUAUCAGGAAGAUUUUACCUUAUAUUUUCUUCUAAGAUUUUUCUGGUUUUGGCUCUUGUGUUUAGAUCUUUGAUACACUUUGAGUUAAUUUUUUAUAUGGCAUAAGGUAAUGCUCCAAAUUAAUUGUUUUGAAUACAG